rnacentral:rRNA from 1 species
UACGUAGGGGGCGAGCGUUGUUCGGAAUUACUGGGCGUAAAGCGCGCGCAGGCGGCUAUCCAAGUCAGUGGUGAAAGCCCGGAGCUCAACUCCGGAACUGCCAUUGAAACUGUUUAGCUUGAGGACGAGAGAGGUGAGUGGAAUUCCCAGUGUAGAGGUGAAAUUCGUAGAUAUUGGGAAGAACACCGGUGGCGAAGGCGGCUCACUGGCUCGUUUCUGACGCUCAGGCGCGACAGCGUGGGGAUCAAACAGG